rnacentral:rRNA from 1 species
AUUGAACGCUGGCGGCAGGCCUAACACAUGCAAGUCGAGCGGAUGAAGGGAGCUUGCUCCUGGAUUCAGCGGCGGACGGGUGAGUAAUGCCUAGGAAUCUGCCUGGUAGUGGGGGAUAACGUCCGGAAACGGGCGCUAAUACCGCAUACGUCCUGAUGGAGAAAGUGGGGGAUCUUCGGACCUCACGCUAUCAGAUGAGCCUAGGUCGGAUUAGCUAGUUGGUGGGGUAAAGGCCUACCAAGGCGACGAUCCGUAACUGGUCUGAGAGGAUGAUCAGUCACACUGGAACUGAGACACGGUCCAGACUCCUACGGGAGGCAGCAGUGGGAAUAUUGGACAAUGGGCGAAAGCCUGAUCCAGCCAUGCCGCGUGUGUGAAGAAGGUCUUCGGAUUGUAAAGCACUUUAAGUUGGGAGGAAGGGCAGUAAGUUAAUACCUUGCUGUUUUGACGUUACCAACAGAAUAAGCACCGGCUAACUUCGUG